rnacentral:rRNA from 1 species
AGAGUUUGAUCAUGGCUCAGAUUGAACGCUGGCGGCAGGCCUAACACAUGCAAGUCGGGCGGUAGCACAGAGGAGCUUGCUCCUUGGGUGACGAGCGGCGGACGGGUGAGUAAUGUCUGGGAAACUGCCUGAUGGAGGGGGAUAACUACUGGAAACGGUAGCUAAUACCGCAUAAUGUCUUCGGACCAAAGUGGGGGACCUUCGGGCCUCACGCCAUCGGAUGUGCCCAGAUGGGAUUAGCUGGUAGGCGGGGUAACGGCCCACCUAGGCGACGAUCCCUAGCUGGUCUGAGAGGAUGACCAGCCACACUGGAACUGAGACACGGUCCAGACUCCUACGGGAGGCAGCAGUGGGGAAUAUUGCACAAUGGGGGAAACCCUGAUGCAGCCAUGCCGCGUGUGUGAAGAAGGCCUUCGGGUUGUAAAGCACUUUCAGCGGGGAGGAAGGCAGUGAACUUAAUAAGUUAACUGAUUGACGUUACCCGCAGAAGAAGCACCGGCUAACUCCGUGCCAGCAGCCGCGGUAAUAC